CUUCACGAAGUCGGAAUUGCUAGUAAUGGCAGGUCAGCAUACUGCCGUGAAUACGUUCCCGGGCCCUUGUACACACCGCCCGUCACACCAUGAGAGUUAGGAAUACCCGAAGCCUGUGAGCCAACUUUAUAAGAGGCAGCAGUCGAAGGUAGAACUAAUGAUUGGGGUGAAGUCGUAACAAGGUACC
rnacentral:rRNA from 1 species